rnacentral:miRNA from 1 species
UCUCUCUCUCUCUCUCUGUCUCUCUCUCUCUCUAUAUAUAUAUAGAGAGAGAGAGAGAGGGGGGGGAGGGAGAGAGAGAGG